CCUACGGGAGGCAGCAGUGGGGAAUAUUGGGCAAUGGACGCAACUCUGACCCAGCAACGCCGCGUGAAUGAUGACGGUCUUCGGAUUGUAAAGUUCUGUGAUGGGGGAUGAACACAAUGACGGUACCCCAAUAGCAAGCCACGGCUAACUACGUGCCAGCAGCCGCGGUAAUACGUAGGUGGCAAGCGUUAUCCGGAAUGACUGGGCGUAAAGGGUGCGUAGGUGGGUUAGUAAGUUGGCGGUGUAAUUCCGGGGCUCAACCUCGGCGCUACCGCCAAAACUAUUAGACUAGAGUGCAGGGGAGGUAAGUGGAAUUCCUAGUGUAGCGGUGGAAUGCGUAGAUAUUAGGAGGAACAUCAGGGGCGAAGGCGACUUACUGGACUGUAACUGACACUGAGGCACGAAAGCGUGGGGAGCAAACAGGAUUAGAUACCCGGGUAGUC
rnacentral:rRNA from 1 species